UGGGGAAUUGUUCACAAUGGGCGCAAGCCUGAUGACGCAACGCCGCGUGGAGGAUGAAGGUCUUCGGAUUGUAAACUCCUGUUGCCAGGGACGAAAAGCUCCGACCUAAUACGUCGGAGUCUGACGGUACCUGGUGAGGAAGCCCCGGCUAACUCUGUGCCAGCAGCCGCGGUAAUACAGAGGGGGCAAGCGUUGUUCGGAAUUACUGGGCGUAAAGGGCGCGUAGGCGGCCUGCUAAGUCGAACGUGAAAUCCCCGGGCUCAACCCGGGAACUGCGUCCGAUACUGGUAGGCUUGAAUCCGGGAGAGGGAUGCGGAAUUCCAGGUGUAGCGGUGAAAUGCGUAGAUAUCUGGAGGAACACCGGUGGCGAAGGCGGCAUCCUGGACCGGCAUUGACGCUGAGGCGCGAAAGCCAGGGGAGCAAACGGG
rnacentral:rRNA from 1 species